rnacentral:lncRNA from 10 species
GAAAACAGGGUUUCACUAUGUUGGCCAGUCUGGUGUUGAACUCCUCACCUCAAAUGAUCUGCCCACCUUGGCCUCCCAAAGCGUUGGAGUUACAGACGUGAGCCACCGCGCCCAGCUGGAGAAGAUGUGAAAUUUUGAGAGCUGACCAUACUUUGAGAAUAAUAAGUAGUUGGAUUCUACUGAAGCCCAGUGGCUUUUGGAGGUGUAGCAAUAAGCAGGAGGCAGCAGAAGUAAGACAAGGGCUGUAUGACAAAGUCUUGGCAAGAACUUUGAAUUUUAUCCUGAUGUGAGUGGGGAGAGCCACUGAAGAACGUGAAGCCAGAAACACUACAUGUUACUACUUCUACUUUCAGAAAAGGCUUAAUAUGGAUUAUACACCUACAAGUGGCACACACUGUUCCAAGUGGAGACUCAAAGAUGAUAACGAUACAGUGUUUAUGCUAUAGGUUUGUGAAGCUACCAAUCCAUGGACAGAUGUUAAACCUAACUUCCAAUUUCAGGUACAAAUAUCUGAGUAAAUGAUGGUAUCAUUUACUCAAUCAGUAAAGGUCAAAGAGAAGGCAGUCUGAAGAAGGGAAAGGUGUUCAAUUUUGCAUUGAGUUUGACAUACCUGUUGAGACAGCUCAGUGGAGAUAUCCAGUUGAUGCUUGGAUAUAUGGACUUACAGCUCAGGGGGAGCUAGAAAUUGAAAUUUGAGAAUCAUCAACCUAUAUUUAUAAUGGGUGAAAUCAAUAAGUCGGAAUCAAAUUACCUGGGGAAGCAUGCAGAUUUGUUUAAAAAGGAAGAGGCCUGAGAACCCAACCCUGGUAAGCAUGACCAUUCAGGAUAAGAGAGAAGGAGCAAGUAGGGAAAGAGACUGAAAUAAAGAAACCUGAGUAACCACUGAGGACCACUGCUACAAUAGAGAAAAAGGAACUUCAUUAGGGAAAUGCCUGAAAGCGAAUAAGAAAGGGUGUCCUCCUGAUGAAUC